GCCUGGGUGGCUUGGUUGGUUAAGCGUCUGACUUCCGCUCAGGUCAUGAUCUCACGGUUCGUGAGUUCGAGCCCCGCGUCGGGCU
rnacentral:tRNA from 1 species